CUAAAUUGUACCAUGAACUGCUAACUUAGAGGAAAUUUCACCAUGUCAGAAUAGCAAUUCAUGUUGGACAAGUUCAUUAAAAAAAUGGGCCCAUUGUCUAGUGAAUUAAUGGUCUUAAAAUCUACAUAUUACCCAAAACUUACUUCCAAUACCUGGUAAAAUUGAAUGAGGACCACAUAAGCUGCUCACCAUGUCAGAAUAGCAAUUCAUGUUGGACAAGCUCAUUAAAAAAGGGCCCCACUGUCUAGUGAAUUAAUAGUCUUAAAUCAUGACUUGCAAUAAUUGUA
rnacentral:lncRNA from 1 species